rnacentral:misc_RNA from 1 species
AACGCAUAUUGCACUUUCUGGUAUUCCGGAAAGUAUGCCUGUUUGAGGGUCAGUUAAAUAAAAAUCGGUGUUGUUGCUACUUUUGUGGUGAUGCAUCGGAAUUGAGUUGUCUUUUUACCUUUUGGUUAAAGUGACUUAAAAUUAUGUACGAUUUUUGAACGUAUUUAAAUUGUUUACGUAUGUUCAUAAUAUCAUAUAUUAGGUGUGAUCAUUCUUAUGAUUUCGCGUCUAUAAUUUUUCAUUAUUUGACCUCAAAUCAGGUAAGAGUACCCGCUGAACUUAA